rnacentral:lncRNA from 1 species
AUAAUAUCUCUUUUGCUAAAUGUCCAAUUUGUAAUUCUGAGGAAUUUCAUGAAGACUCGGAUUCAUGCACAAUCUUAUUUCAACAUCUUCCAUAAGAAUGAUUCCAUCUUAAAUUCUUUCAUCAAAUAUUUUACUGUAUAUGAAAUCUCUACAGGAGAUCCGAUAAUAUUUAAAUCAUCAAACGUACUCUAUAUUUAUUCUUGUAGCCUUCUUUUAACAAGUACCAACUAAGGCAAUUAUCUUAUAUAUGCCCCGAUGUUUCAAUUCACAACAAUAUCGAUUUAAUUUCACAUAUAUAGUUAUGUUCUCGAGAACUAUAAUUUGUUGCUU